CUACGGGCUGCAGCAGUGAGGAAUAUUGCACAAUGGGGGGAACCCUGAUGCAGCAACGCCGCGUGGAGGAUGACGCAUUUCGGUGUGUAAACUCCUUUUAUAUGUCAAGAAAAUGACGGUAGCAUAUGAAUAAGCACCGGCUAACUCCGUGCCAGCAGCCGCGGUAAUACGGAGGGUGCAAGCGUUACUCGGAAUCACUGGGCGUAAAGGACGCGUAGGCGGGUUGGAAAGUCAGGUGUGAAAUCCUACAGCUUAACUGUAGAACUGCACUUGAAACUUCUAAUCUAGAGUAUGGGAGGGGGAGAUGGAAUUAGUGGUGUAGGGGUAACAUCCGUAGAUAUCACCAGGAAUACCUAAAGCGAAGGCGAUCUCCUGGAACAUUACUGACGCUAAGGCGUGAAAGCGUGGGGAGCAAACAGGAUUAGAUACCCCGGUAGUC
rnacentral:rRNA from 1 species